GUGCCAUCCACGUGCCCUCCCCGCACCGCUCCGGGCGGAGCCACCGCGCCGGGGCAGGUACCGUCGGUUCUGGGUUCGGUUCGUGUCCGGUACCGGACCCGGUUCGGGCUGCAGCCAUGCUGAGCCUCCUGGGAUCGCUGCUGCAACGAGCGGUGGAAACGCCGGAGCCGCAGGUGGAGCUGCUGGAGGCGUUCACCGGGCACUGGAGGGGAAUCACCGGGUACUACCUGGAGGCGACGGCUUGGGAAUGGGGUCCCCGUGCCCGAAAAUAGAGGAGAAGAGAUUGGAAGUAGAGUUCCCGUGUCCCGGAAGAGGGUUCCCGUGCCUGGACCAGGUACGGGGCUGGGGAGCACCGGGACCCACUGCCCAUCAAUGGACAGACUGGAAACGGGGUCCCGUGCCCUAAAGUGGGGUCAAAUCGAUGGGAAAUAGGGACGGGUCGGCUGGAAAUGGGGACCCCCUGCCCGAAAAUGGGGUCGGAUCGUCCAGAAAUGGGGUCCCUGCGCCCAAA